UUCGCAAUGCCCGAAAGGGUGACGAAGCGACGCCGCGUGUGGGAAGAAGGUCUUCGGGUUGUAAACCACUGUCGGGAGUUAAGAAAUGCAAGAAUGUCAAUAGCGUUUUUGCUUGACUAAGGCUCCGGAGGAAGCCACGGCUAACUCUGUGCCAGCAGCCGCGGUAAUACAGAGGCGGCAAGCGUUGUUCGGAAUUAUUGGGCGUAAAGAGCACGUAGGCGGCUAUAUAAGUCGGUUGUGAAAGCCUUCCGCUCAACGGGAGAACAGCAUCCGAUACUGUAUGGCUUGAGUGUGGGAGGGGAGAGCGGAACUUCUGGUGAAGCGGUGAAAUGCGUAGAUAUCAGAAGGAACGCCGGCGGCGAAAGCGGCUCUCUGGCCCAUAACUGACGCUGAGUGUGCGAAAGCUAGGGGAGCAAACGGGAUUAGAUACCCCGGUAGUCCUAGCCGUAAACGAUGGGCACUAAGUAGAGGGGUUUU
rnacentral:rRNA from 1 species